UCUGGCAGUCUCUGGCUUGUCCGAGUUGUAAACUAGAGAAGUGUUAUCCGCGCUGGACCAUGUAUAAGUCUCCUGGGAUGGAGCGUCACAGAGGGUGAGAAUCCCGUCUUUGACAUGGACCGCCAGGGCAUUGUGAUGCGCUCUCAAAGAGUCGAGUUGUUUGGGAAUGCAGCUCAAAAUGGGUGGUAAAUUCCAUCUAAAGCUAAAUAUUGGCGAGAGACCGAUAGCGAACAAGUACCGUGAGGGAAAGAUGAAAAGAACUUUGGAAAGAGAGUUAAACAGUACGUGAAAUUGUUGAAAGGGAAACGCUUGAAGUCAGUCACAUUGGCUGGAGAUCAACCUUGCUCCUGUGAGGCGUACUCUCUGGCUGAUGGGUCAGCAUCAAUUUUGACUGCCGGAAAAAGGUCAGGGGAAUGUGGCCAUCUCAGGAUGUGUUAUAGCCUUUGAUUGUAUACGGUGGUUGGGAUUGAGGAACUCAGCACGCCGCAAGGGCCGGGUAUCUACCACGUUCGUGCUUAGGAUGCUGGCAUAAUGGCUUUAAUCGACCCGUCUUGAAACACGGACCAAGGAGUCUAACAUGCCUGCGAGUGUUUGGGUGGUAAACCCAUGCGCGCAAUGAAAGUGAAAGUUGAGAUCUCUGUCAUGGAGAGCAUCGACGCCCGGACCAGACCUUCUGUGACGGAUCCGCGGUAGAGCAUGUAUGUUGGGACCCGAAAGAUGGUGAACUAUGCCUGAAUAGGGUGAAGCCAGAGGAAACUCUGGUGGAGGCUCGUAGCGAUUCUGACGUGCAAAUCGAUCGUCGAAUUUGGGUAUA
rnacentral:rRNA from 1 species